rnacentral:lncRNA from 1 species
GGGAAAACGGUACUAUUACAUUUUCCAAGCAUUAGGUUGGCAUUUUGUGUACCCAAGACAGGUGAAGGAAGUCAACUUAGGAGGGCUGUGAUUGGAUGUAAGGGUACAAUAUAUUUUUAUUAUCUAUGAAUAACUGCAGUGUGUAAAUUUACAAUAUAAAUUUUAAAACCUAUUGAAAUAUUUUCUAGAGAAUUAUUCGAAAAGGCUUCCAAAAUUUCAUAAAUUUGGUGUAAAAUGACGGUGGGCAUGGAUAACAUAAACAAGCUCCGUUGGAAAUUGGUCAUGAUACUAUUUGGCUUCAAUUU